CUUGAUAAGCAGCAGGGGGUGCAGGGUGCUGUUGUUACUGUCGCCCCCAGAGAGGUGCAGGGUGCUGUUGUUACUGUCGCCCCCAGAGAGGUGCAGGGUGCUGUUGUUACUGUCGCCCCCAGAGAGGUGCAGGGUGCUGUUGUUACUGUCGCCCCCAGAGAGGUGCAGGGUGCUGUUGUUACUGUCGCCCCCAGAAAGGUGCAGGGUGCUGUUGUUACUGUCGGCCCCAGAGAGGUGAAUGGCACUGUGCGAUAGCUGGUCACUGAAGAACACCAGUACGUCCCUGGGUACGAGAGGAACCUCCGCAAUAUAGUCCUCCAGCCU
rnacentral:lncRNA from 1 species